AUGCCUGUAAUCCCAGCACUUUGGGAGGCUGAGGCCGGCGGGAGGUCAGGAGUUUGAAACCAGCCUGGCCAACAUAGUGAAACUCCGUCUCUACUAAAAAUACAAAAAUUAGCUGGAUGUGGUGGCGCACACCUGUAGUCCCAGCUACUCGGGAGGUUGAGGCAGGAGAAUCGCUUGCACCCAAAAUCGGGCCACUGCACUCCAGCCUGGGGGACAGAGCGAGAAUCCGUUUCAAAAAAUAGAGAAAAGAAAAAGUCUUGAGUGCUGGACAAGCCUGUGACUCAGGACUCGGAAUGAUAAACAAGAGAGAAAUACACUGAGUUUCUAUGAUAGUCACUAACUCGGGGCUGCCGGCACUCGUGUUCCCCUGCAGAGGAAAGGUCUGCGUGCCCUAAGAGAGAGCUGCUGGCGUGCAGAGAGAAGCAGAGAUGCCGACGACGGGGAGGAAACACACUGGCGGUGGUGAGGCUCCUUCCAGCAGCCACAGCCCUGGUUCCUCUCAGUCUGUGACCCUCCCACAUCCUUCCCAUCUAUGAGAGCCUGUAAACUCCUUUUGCUUAACCUUGUUUUAGUUAAGGUUUUAAACAGUUGCCACCAGUGUGCCCUAACCACCCCAGUGGCUUGAGUGUUUCUCCGCUUCUUUUGCCUAGGAUCUGCGGAGAUGGACAGGACAGGAGACUAAGGAGGUGGCUUGUGAGUUCUGGCCAGCAGAAUGUGAGAACAAGCAGAGUACUCUCCAUCUUCCCUCCCUGAUCCUCACCUCUUCCCCAACCACCAGCUGACUAGAGAUGCCUCCAACAGCUACAGGAGGCUGGACCCACAACAGGAAAGGAACCUGGGUCCAUGAAAGACUGUGUGGAGCAGAGAAUCCCCCACCCUAGUUCCCAGCAACUACCAGAGACUGUGGCAUGAGCAAAAAAAUAAACAUUUUUCUUUCCUUUUUUUUUUUUUUUGAGAUGGAGUCUCACUCUGUCACCCAGGCUGGAGUGCAGUGGCGUGAUCUCGACUUACUGCAAGCCCCGCCUCCUGGGUUCAAGAAAUUCUACUGCCUCAGCCUCCAGAGUAGCUGGGACUACAGGCACCUGCCACCACACCUGGCUAAUUUUUUGUAUUUUUAGUAGAGACGGGGUUUCACUGUGUUAGCCAGGCUGGUCUCAAUCUCCUGACCUCGUGAUCCGCCCGCCUCAGCCUCCCAAAGUGUUGGGAUUACAGGCGUGAGCCACCGCACCCGGCUAAAUAAACAUUUUUCAAAGCCUCCCAAGUAUAGGUAAUGUUUGUUACAGUGGUUAGUCUAUUCUGGCUCUAUCCUUCUGUAACCACCGAAGGGCUGGUUAAAACAUUUUAUUGGGCCCCAUCCCAGUUUUUGGUCCCAUAGGCCUGAAGGAAGGGGCAUACAAUUUGCAUUUUUAUUUAUUUAUUGAAACAGAGUUUCGCUCUUGUUGCCCAGGCUGGAGUGUAAUGGCACAAUCUCGGCUGACUGCAACCUCUGCCUCCCGGGUUCAAGUGAUUCUCCUGCCUCGGUCUCCUGGGUAGCUGGGAUUACAGGCGCCCACAACCAUGCCCGGGUCAUUUUUUGUAUUUUUAGUAGAGACAGGGUUUCACCACAUUGGCCAGGCUGGUCUCGAACUCCUGACCUCAGGUGACCCACCCGCCUUGGCUUCCCAAAGUACUGGGAUUACAGGCACGAGCCACCACACCUGGCCUGAAUUUGCAUCUUUUAACAAGUGCUGGGGGUAAUGCUGCAGCUGCUGCUGGUCUGGGGUGAUGUUGUGGCUGCUGGCCUUGUGAACCACUGCCCAAGUGCGUAGCUGCAGUGUGGGAGUUACUAUCCCAUUUUGCUGAGGAAAUGGUACCCAGUUCCUGGCCGUCAUGGGCACUGAGCUGCCUUCCUGCUGUGCCUCGUCAGUGCCUGCCUACAUCGUUGCUCAUUGAUCAUGGCCUGCGAGUUAGUGUCAUCAGAGGAAGGGAGAAGAGUUCCUAGAGUGGAAACCCUGGGCUGUAAGCCCGGUUCUACCACCUCCCAGCUGUCUGGCAGCAGGCAAGUUCCUCAGUCUAAGUCUCUUUCCUCUGGUGUAAAAGGGGAAAAGGGUGUUCGUUUGCUCCCCACCCCCAUCAGCCUGGCAGCUUUGUGCCCACAGUAGAUUUUCUAUGAGGACCUCUCACUGAUGCACUUGAGUGGCAGAGACUUGGGACUAAAGGAGGACUUCUGGCCCCAGAUGCCCCAGUGCCAGCCUCACCCUUGAGGGCCACAGUGAGCACCCACGUGUCUCACCGCCUCCAAGGCAGCUGAGACCUCUCCUGGUACAGGCUUACAGGGGGGAAGGCGGAAUUGUACAGGGAAAAAAAACCUCAGACUACAGUCACAAAUUUUACAUGCACACCUUUGCCAGUUAUGAGAAUUGUGUUGCAAAGAGGAAGGAGUGGAGAGUUUACCAGCCAAGGGCUGGAGGACCCCAACACUCCAGUUUCUUAGAACAUUCAUUGCAGGUACUCUUUUAUACUACCAAAGUCCUCCCACCCCAUCCCCCACCAACCACAGCUUCCAGGAAUCACUGAGAUUCACAGAGAAAGGAAGUAAACACAAUUAAGAACAAAGUUAUGUUGAAAAGAUAUUUCAAUGCACAUGUUGCAAACAAGGCGAGUCCCAGGAAUCAUUCCGAAGAAAAAGACAGAAUGACACUGAAAUCCAUCAUGAUGGUUAUCCCAUCAUGAUGGGAGUAAAGCCUUUAAGGGAGUAAAGCCUUAAAGAUCUCCUUGUCAGAUGAGACUUUUAGAACAGACCCGACAUUCUGUUGACUUAGAAGAGCUGAUGUCAUCCUCAGAGCCCAGGUGAUACACACAUUCCUGGAUGUGGCCACAGGGUGGAUGAUAGUACCCUCAGCUGAGAUGGGAAUAGGGGGCAGAGCAGUUUUGGAUGUGGGUGGAAUUGGGGGUUGGAGAAAGAGAAGCAAAGUUCAGCGGUUUGGGAUGCAGCCACUGAGGUGUCUGCAGGAGUGGAUGGAGAGGCAGAACAAGCAUUUGAGGACACUCAGGCUCUCUGGGUAGCAGACAUGGCCUGAGUGAUUUCAUUUACUACUGAGAGGACAGUGAGUGCCCCGGGCUGCCUCCCAGAGUGGCUGGCCCUUACCUAGGGCACCUGGUGGAUGCUCUAACCCUCAGGAUUCACUUUUCACCAUGAGAUAUUGACUCCUUUAAAUUUCUGCCUGUGUCCUAUUUUAAAAGUGGCUCUGCUGGAUGGACAAGUGGUGGAAGGAAAUUUGGAAUAAGCAACAGAGAUUCUGGUUGUCUUCAGUAAAAAACUAUGCAUUGGGGCCGGGCGUGGUGGCUGACGCCUGUAAUCCCAACAUUUUGGGAGGCCGAGGCGGGUGGAUCACCUGAGGUCAGGAGUAUGAGACCAACCUGGCCAACACAGUGAAACCCUGUAUCUACUAAAAAUACAAAAAUUAGCCAGUUGUGGUGGCAUGCGCCUGUAAUCCCAGCUACUCAGGAGGCUGAGUCAGGAGAAUCACUUGAACCCGGGAGGCAGAGGUUGCAAUGAGCCAAGAUUGCACCACUGCGCUCCAGCCUGUGUGACAAGAGGGAAACUCUGUCUCAAAAAAAAAAAGAAAGAAAAUAGAACUAUGCAUUGCUUAGGGUGCACCCUUCCAAUUAUCUGAUUCUAGUCUUUCACUGCCUUUGAGCUAUUUUUACAACUAAGUUGUAGAGUUAAUGCAAAAUAAUUCUUGUCUAUGGAUGUGCAUAUUAUACGAAUAAGAUUCAAUUGACCUUUCUCCUCAAAAAAAAAAAAAAAAAAAAAAACCCCAGCCAGUUUCAACUUUCCUUUACUCCAUACAGAUUUAUGGUUCAUUGUGAUUUCUCUUUUGAACUGGCUGUUAAUCUUAGCAGCACUCUCAAUUACUGAGUUAAAUAAAAUCUUUGACAUGUGUACAUGUAAUAUAUAUGAGUUAUGCCUUUUUUUAAAAAAUUAUCUUUAACAGAAGGCACGGGAAGGACCACUACCUCUCAGAGAUGGAAAGGCUUGCCAUGGUCCACGCAGCACAAAGCCCACCCCCAGCCAUAUCAUCCCAGACAGGAAGGGUGUAGCCUGGGCUUGCAUACCUCCAAGGACAGGGUGCUCAGUCCCUCCUAGAGGCCACUUCACUUCUUCCCAUAUUGGCUCACAGCUGUGACUUUAAAACACAGAACGAGUGCAUAUCUAAAACUAGAAGAAAACACUAUGGUCCUUCCUGCUGACAGCUGAGUGCUUGGGCCUAAAUCAGCAUCUACACACGCGGCCUGCAACCCUGGGUUCCAUGCAAAGGCAGUGUGGCUGAAUUGGCUGCAGGUGGAGUGAGGAGAGAGGCCAACACAGGCUCACGGUAACACUUCCACUGCCUCAGAACAAAACCCUGGAUUUCCUGACCUUCCAGCAGUCCAUGUGUAUUUUCAAAUACCAGGUUUUUCUCAGGGCACCAGGGCAAGCCGAGCAAGGCCCACACACGCUAGUCUCACACAUGUCCCCCAGCACUGCCCCCAGGUUCCCAGCCCUGCUGAGCUGUCCUCACAGACACGGACACCCUCCCUCAUAGGAGGUGCGGAGGAGCACCCAGUCCCGGUCUGAGGCCUCAGGCAAGUCCCAGCACACCCCAGGGCCUCUGUUCUCCUUAUGAGUGGGACCAGAUGGGGUCCACCAACCGUCCAAACGUGAUAUGCUGCUGUCUUCAGGGCACAUUAUCCCCAGCGUUGAUGUUCACAAUAAUCCCCUUUCUCCCCACAGACCAUCCCUCCUGGGCCCCAGGCCUCUGUGGCCUACCCUGGCCCCUUGGCAGUUGAUGGCCACUCUGCUGCUUCUGGGGGCUCCCGGGCAACUUUGGUUGUGUUGGUUUCUGGUAGCAUCUGCGCUCCAGGCAAGAAGCAACACCCUACCUUGUCUCCCCACCUCUAUGGCACAGAAAGAGAACAGACCUUGAACUCCAAAUGCCUGCUGAGGCUUGCCACAGACCUCGAAGCCUUGUUCCUAAAGGGACAGGGAAGUGGACCGUUUCGUUUCAGUGAUUCAAAGCUUGAGCUAUCUGACAUGUGACCCAGGCAGCUCUCUCGUAGGGACUGGCAGCCACAGAUAAAAUUCCCCAAUCAUUAAAAUUAUGUUAGCAAUAAUUCAGGGGAUGCAUACUAAAUAAUCUGGAUCUUUGUUAGAUGCUUACCCAUCUCAACUCAUUUAAUCCUUGAAACAACCUCACAGGGGUAGGAGGUUUUGUCACCUUAUACCCACACACACCAGCAGUGGUCAGGCAGCAACAGGUACACCCCAGCCCUGAGUACCUACUUAUUAAAAUGUGAUCCCCCAUCCUGGCUAACACGGUGAAACCCCGUCUCUACUAAAAAUACAAAAAAAAUUAGCCGGGCGUAGUGGCGG
rnacentral:lncRNA from 10 species